UGCAUUCACUAUUGUAAGUCGCUCUGGAUAAGAGUGUCUGCUAAAUGACUCAAA
rfam:Salmo salar isolate Sally breed double haploid chromosome ssa10, whole genome shotgun sequence.